GGGGUGUGUGCUUUGCUUUUUAUUCAAGCCUUAAGAUGGUCUAUUUAAAGGGUUUCAGAUCUAGGCUUGUUUCUGAGAUAGCAUGCUGUUUUGCCCUAGUAAAUUUUGUAUGUUUCAUUCAUCAUAUAGGACAAGGACUUAUGGAAUCAAGGCACUUUCAUUAUUAGUUUUUAUUCCCCCUUGUAAAAAUAUUCUCAUACAUUCUGAUUUCCUUGACCUUUGUAGGACUCGCAAAUGAAGUCAGGUGGA
rnacentral:misc_RNA from 1 species